rnacentral:rRNA from 1 species
UACGAAGGGGGCUAGCGUUGUUCGGAAUCACUGGGCGUAAAGGGUGCGUAGGCGGCUCGGUAAGUCGGGUGUGAAAUCUUGGAGCUUAACUCCGAAACUGCAUUCGAUACUGCCGUGCUUGAGGACUGGAGAGGAGACUGGAAUUUACGGUGUAGCGGUGAAAUGCGUAGAUAUCGUAAGGAAGACCAGUGGCGAAGGCGGGUCUCUGGACAGUUCCUGACGCUGAAGCACGAAGGCCAGGGGAGCAAACGGG